UGGUUCAGGAAGGUAAGUCUGUGUUCAAAAGCAUAAAGGAAUGUCAUGCAUUGAAUCCAACAAUUGAGCAUUACGGAUGCAUGGUUGAUCUACUCGGCCGAGCUGGAUUAUUAACAGAAGCGAAGGAUCUGAUCAAGAACAUGCCUGUCAAACCAAAUGCAAUCAUCUGGGGUUCACUAUUGAAAGCCUGCAAGAUUCAUGGAAAUCUAGAGUUAGGUAAACAAAUAGGAAAACUCGCAAUUGAAAUGAACCCUAAUCAUGGCGGCAGAUACAUUCAAUUGGCAGAAAUUCACGCAGCUGCAAAGGAAUGGGAACUGGCAGCUAAGGCAAGAAGGCGAAUGAAAGAACACGGAGUGUCGAAAUUACCAGGAUGCAGCACAAUCAGUGUGGAAGGUACGGUGCAUGAAUUUUCCGCCGGAGACGGAAGUCAUCCGGAAGCUGAUGCGAUUUACAGCAAAUGGCACUGUAUAGCUGAGCGGCUGAGAGAAGAAGGGUAUAAACCUGUGACGAGAGAGUUGAUGCUUGACCUGGAAGACGGGGAGAAGGAAAUUGUUGUUAGUCAGCACAGCGAGAAGCUUGCUGUAGCGUUCGGGUUGAUUCAUGGAAAAGCAGGGACGGUGAUUCGGAUUUUCAAGAACCUUCGGGUGUGUGAGGACUGCCACACUGCGAUGAAACUCAUUUCCAGGGUUUAUGAUAGGGAGAUUGUGAUGCGCGACAGAGUUCGUUUCCAUUGUUUCAGAGAGGGAGAAUGCUCUUGUGGUGAUUAUUGGUAAAAGACCGAGAUAUUUGGGAACUGCAAAAUAGAAAAUACUGCAUUCCAUUAGUAUCAACUGCGUUCUCGAUGAAAGUUUUCAUCUAGCAAUCCAAAUAGCAACCUUCCUUGAUCUCUCAUCGCAUCAAUGAUCAGGGACUUGUUCUGGAUUCUGAAAAGCUAGGGUUAUCCGGGCUUUCUUUCCUGGGUUAACUUCUGUACAAAACCCACUUGCGUUGCAGUUCCAUAUCUUCAUAAGCUUUGAUUUCUCCUAACACAUGCAAAAAUGGCGGAUCAUCUGUACAAAACCAACCGGUCUUUGUGUUUGUUC
rnacentral:lncRNA from 1 species